rnacentral:lncRNA from 1 species
UGGAAUAGGGGCAGAAUGCAACUCUGUGGUACUAUCAAAUAGAUCAUUCUGAAAUCGAAAUGGAUGGUUUGGUUUUAACCAUCGACGAUGGCCCAUAUAACAGCACUUUCCUCCAUGUUUUAACCAAUAUGAAUGGGUUGAAUCUCCACAAGAAGGACAUGCAAUACGCCCUUAGUGCUCCAACCAGAUAAAUUAGCAUAUGCAGGAAAAUCAUUAAUAGUCCAUAUAAGAGCUGCAUGCAAUUUGAAUGUUUGA